AUAAAUUGGUCAUCUAUAUAUUAGUAAUGUGUACAUUUUUUUUAUUCUUCACGUACAUAUUAUCUUAUACCUUAAUUUCUGUUCCAUCUAACAAUUUCUAUUUUUUCUCUCAUAAUUUUCAUACGUACAAGUUUAAUAAUCACUAAUAUACUGCUGACCUACUUUUCAAACACAAAAAGGGAUUCAACCACACAAUUUCAUGCUCAUCUUUAUCAACAAGAACAUAUGUCUUGAGGAAAACACAUUCCAAACAUGAGCAUAAUUCAGUCAUCAGCUUUGUUUUUUUUAGAUCUAAUAACCAUAAGAACAAAAUUGUCAUUCAUGAUCUCAUCAUGUUUAAGAAGAAGCAUAACACUGCUACCGAUGCAUUUGACAACCAACAGCAACCUUCAAAAGCAGCGGCGCAGCCCCUCGAAUCCGACAAUCGCGACCGCUCCGACGUCGGCGAUCCUCACGCACACAGCGGCCGAGCCGCCUCGAUCUCCCUCCGUACACGAAAUCGCAACCGCCACCACACUCCCUCCGAUCAAAGCUUCCGGCCACAAGUUCCUCAACCACGACGGAUCCGUAAGAUUUCGAAGCAAAUCCGGUAACCAUCUUUGCUUCUCCUAUUAAUAUAUGGCGAAUUAAUCGAUUUAUUAUUUGUUUGAAUUGCUUUGUUGUGUGAUCUUUUGUGUUUUGAAUCAAAGGAGAGGGCUGAUAAUUUUAAGAGAGUUUUUGCAAUGUUUAUUCAUCUUUUUUCUAUUUAAUUUUGUAUUUUUUUUUCCUUUCCAAUGUCACGUGUCAAUUGUUGAUGGGUUGAUGUUUUAAUUUUUUUUUGAGACAUAAGAACAUCCACGUCUCUCACUUUCACUAUAUCUUUUUAAUUGUUGUUUUAUUAUUUAUUUACUUAGUACCAAAAAACGGUCUUAUGGUUAGUUUUUUUUUUUUUUUAUAUCAAAAUAUAAAAGAUAUUAGAAUUUAGAUUUUCUGUCUCUCAUACAAAAACACCAAAAAUAUUUUAUUGUCUUAGAGUUUAAAUUUUAGUUUCUAUAUUAUAAAAAAUAAAAAAUUAUAAUUACUUUAAUUUCUCAUAUAAAAAAAAACUUAAAAAUGUAAAUGUUUGUGCUAAUUUUUAGAUUUUUUUAAUUAAUUUUAAUUAAAUUUGUUAUCAUUUCUUAUGCAUUAUUUUGUAUAUAUCCGUACUAAUAUUGUUUGAUUGCGAGGUACCACCUUCUUUGAGGACUCGGAUUAUUUUGUGGAUAUUCAUACGUUUUUGUGUAUAUUCUGUCUAUUUUAAUUUCUAGUUUUUGGUUUGUAAUAAUUUUCAUCUCUGUUUUUGGUUAUGUACCCCCCAUCCCGAAGUCAUGUAAUAGCAUAAGAAUUUUAUUUUCCGCACCUAUUAUAACUGUUAUAACUGUUAGAUGAAUGUUUAAUAGGAUUGUAUGGAAAGAUAACAACUGAACAUAGAUCACUAACUCAAAGAUAAAUAUCUGAACUUAACACACUCGCAUCCACUCACCUCUAGGGUACGCCCCUCUUGGUUGCGUUACGAAUAAUAACGGUCAUGUCCCUUGAAUGUAGAGAUACUUUAGCAAACGAUGACCCUCGAAAAUAUCAUCAUUGAAAGAUCUUAGCCCCUCAAUGUCCCUUAGAGUGGCAGCUGCGAAUAUGCAUAAACAUUUAUUUAUGCAUGGUGCAUAAGUUAACCUAAGCCCUUGGAUCAAUAUUUCCAUCUAAUGGCUAGAAAUCACCAUAUAUAUAUUUACUAAAAACAGAAAAAAAAAACGUUUUGGUGAUUUUUUCCUUCUUAAUUCAACGACUCAGACAUCAUUUUCUUCUCAACUCACCACCGUCGCCACCGCUGCACCGUCGCCACCGCCAAUCUCCGCCGAUCACCACCGUCUUCAUCCUUCCUUCUCAACACAUCACCACUGUUGCCAUGCUUCCUUCCCAACACCUAAUCACCGUCGCCUUUCUUCGCCGCCAUCAAUAACUCAUUCCGGUGAUUCCUCACAGCUCACUUUCAUCCACGAAAUCAUAGGUUGUGUUGCUAAUGGAUGAGAUAUCGUCUUCCACAAAUGUCACUCAAGAUGUUGGUUCAAUCUCCGAUGAAAAUAAAGAAUCGUGGCAACAUUUUGUCUUCCACGAGCUUUCAUCAAUCAAGGAUUUCUAUGCUAAAUACGCUCAUGAAAAGGGAUUUAGCGUGAGAAGAAAUUUGCACUCCUUCUAUGAUUCUCGUAACAAAAAAACGGACAUUGUGCAAUAUAUCCGUUAUGUUUGUAACAAGCAUGGUUUCAAGCACGGAAGUCGGGCGGAUCCUAAGAACAAGACAAACUCGGAUACUCCUGUUCUCAUUGAAUAUCAGAAAGAGAAAGAACUUCCCGAGGAAAGGACUGGUUGCGCAGCUAGUAUUUCGUUGAAGUAUGAUUCCAAUGUUAAAGGUUAUCACAUAUACAAAUGGAAUGUUACUCAUAACCACCCUCUCCACAAACCCGAGCAUUCGCAUUACUUGAGAUCGGCUCGAGAGAUUAGUGAGCCUCAAAAACAACUUGCUAUAAUAAAUUCAAA